rnacentral:rRNA from 1 species
CCUACGGGUGGCAGCAGUGAGGAAUAUUGGUCAAUGGGCGCGAGCCUGAACCAGCCAAGUAGCGUGAAGGAUGACUGCCCUACGGGUUGUAAACCUCUUUUAUAAGGGAAUAAAGUGAGGCACGUGUGCCUUUUUGUAUGUACUUUAUGAAUAAGGAUCGGCUAACUCCGUGCCAGCAGCCGCGGUAAUACGGAGGAUCCGAGCGUUAUCCGGAUUUAUUGGGUUUAAAGGGAGCGUAGAUGGGUUGUUAAGUCAGUUGUGAAAGUUUGCGGCUCAACCGUAAAAUUGCCAUUGAUACUGGCAGCCUUGAGUACAGUUGAGGUAGGCGGAAUGCGUGGUGUAGCGGUGAAAUGCUUAGAUAUCACGAAGAACUCCGAUUGCGAAGGCAGCCUACUAAGCUGCCACUGACACUGAUGCACGAAAGCGUGGGGAUCAAACAGGAUUAGAUACCCUGGUAGUC